GCGCAGCAGGCGAGAAUUUUUCACAAUGGGGGCAACCCUGAUGGAGCGACGCCGCGUGGAGGAUGAAGGCUUUCGGGUUGUAAACUCCUGUCAUUUGAGAACAAGUGUAGCCAACUAACUAUUGGCUACUUGAUAGUAUCAGAAGAGGAAGGGACGGCUAACUCUGUGCCAGCAGCCGCGGUAAUACAGAGGUCCCAAGCGUUGUUCGGAUUCAUUGGGCGUAAAGGGUGCGUAGGUGGCGCCGUAAGUGGGGUGUGAAAUUUCGGAGCUUAACUCCGGAACUGCAUUCCAUACUGCGGUGCUUGAGGACUGGAGAGGAGACUGGAAUUCAUGGUGUAGCAGUGAAAUGCGUAGAGAUCAUGAGGAAGACCAGUGGCGAAGGCGGGUCUCUGGACAGUUCCUGACACUGAGGCACGAAGGCUAGGGGAGCGAACGGGAUUAGAUACCCCCGUAGU
rnacentral:rRNA from 1 species